AAACAUGUCCUUUUGUUUAUAAAUAUAAGGUCUAACCUGCCCAAUGAUUUAAUUUAAUGGCCGCGGUAUAUUAACUGUGCUAAGGUAGCAUAAUCAUUUGUCUUUUAAUUAAAGGCUAGAAUGAAUGGUUGGACGAGAUACAUGCUUUCUUUAAUUUAAUUUAUGAAUUUAAUUUUUUAGUUAAAAAGCUAAAAUUUAUUUAAGGGACGAGAAGACCCUAUAGAUCUUUAUAUAUUUAAUUAUUGUAUAUUUUAGUAUAUUAAUUAUUUUAAUAUUUAUUUAUAUUUGGCUGGGGUGGUUGUAGAAUUUUUAUAACUUCUAUUUUUAUUAAACAUUAAUUUAUGUUUUAUUGAUCCAAUUUUAUUGAUUAAAAGAUUAAGUUACCUUAGGGAUAACAGCGUUAUUUUUUUGGAGAGUUCAUAUCGAUGAAAGAGUUUGCGACCUCGAUGUUGGAUUAAAAUAAGUUUUAGGUGCAGGAGCUUAAAAACUAGGUCUGUUCGACCUUUAAUUUUUUACAUGAUCUG
rnacentral:rRNA from 1 species